AUGCUAAACAACUUACCCAUUCAUCACUUGUCCUUCUACAAGAUUUCAGUGAAGGUGAAAAAGGGAUUUAUAAAAAUUCAGAGGAAUUUCCUUUGGCAUGGAACUGAGGAUAAAAGAGCCAUUACUAGGGUUAGUUGGGAGAAUGUUUGUAAAAGCACAAAUGUCGAUGUAGCCCUUUUUUGUAACAUAACUGUAAAUGAUGAAAAUGAGACAAUUUCAAAGCUCUUGUAA